rnacentral:lncRNA from 10 species
AUAAAUCAGACGAUUUGGUCCCAAAUUGUUGACUGAAUCAAAACACUCAGUUCCAGGUCAACUUUGUAUUAAACACAAGCUGGGCUGCUAAAGACAGCUACCUCUUAGUAAGCCAGAGCUUGGGCAGUGGUGGCUGGAGGGUGGCACCAGCACUGGCUGAGACUUCGGGAGACCACUCAGCCUGUUUGCUCACCUGUGAAACAGGCUUCGCACUAGUUACCCCACAGGGUCAUCCUGGGAUGACCACACGUAUGGGAAAAGUCCUGGCCCAUUACAGGCAUCGGCAAAUCCUGGUGGGUCUGCCUUCAAAACACGUCGGGAAUCCAGACCCCUCUCACCGCCUCUCUGCUUCCCACUCCUGGUCCAGCCACCAUUGUCUUUUGCUUGGAUCAUAGAAACUGCCUCUGCCUGGCCUCCGUCCCUGCCUCUUGCUGUGCCCCACCCCCACAGUCUAUUCUCAACACAGCAGCCAGGGUGACUCAGUUAAAACCUGAGUGAGAUCAUGCCACUCCUCUGCUUAAAAUCACCCAGUGGCCCCUCAUUUACUCAGGGUGAAAGCUGAAGGCCCUACCGAGGCCUGCAAAGUCCAAGAUAACGUAGUCCCCAGUGCGUCCCGUGACCUUGUCUCCUAGCACUGGCCCCAGGCUUGCCCUGUCCUCACCAUGGCACCUCCGUGAUGCUCCUCCAGCACUCUGGGCACACGUCCUUCUCAGACCCCUUGCACUGCUCUUGCUUCUGCCUGGAAGGUGUUAUCCCCAGACGUUUCCAUGCAGGCCUCAUUCACUCACUGGCUGUCUUCAAGUCCUUGGUGGAACGUCACCUGCCCUGACCAUCCUAUUUAAUAUUGCAGCCCAUGCCUCAGUGCUCUCCAUUCCCCUUGAUUUUCAUUCAUAGUGUGUCUCACCCUCCAAUAAACUAUACAAUUUCCUUUUUUCA